GGCGGUAUAGCUCAGUUGGUUAGAGCGAGGGAAUCAUAAUCCCUGCGUCCUUGGUUCAAAUCCGAGUACCGCUA
rnacentral:tRNA from 1 species